GCCGCCUGUCACGCUCUCCUCACCUGGGACCUUAUCUUGCUUUUGGUUACGGAAUAGGAGGCCUGAGUGUAGAGCGGUUUUCGCCUUUGUUUCCCUCUCAUACUUUCCCCUCCCAUGGCGCCUAAAAAGCUACUGCUGAUACUGCGGAGCUAGUUAGUAUCGGCUCUAUGAUGUGCGUUCUUCCAGUAGGAGAUUUUCCGAGGGAGCGAGCCACCUGGUUCCACACCACAAAGACACAGAGGACACCGGACCACCAGACCACUGUACUGGAGGCAGCUUUUGAACCAACCACAAGGAUUUUAGACAAAACAGGAACAAACCAAAAGAGAUCAUCUUAUAACUUGGAGCAAGGAUGGACCUCAACAGUGCCCCUGCUACUGGUUAUGUCCAAAGCCAUCCUCUGGGUGAAUAAGCCUCAGAGGCCUCCUUGUGGGAAGACAGCAUCAAGCUGCAAGACUCCUGCGACUCCCAUGUCCACUGAUGCCCACAGCCUUUCAGACUCCAGAAGGAACCCCUGAUCCUGGGCCUUAUGUUUAUCUUCAUCUUAUUGCUAGAUACCUUUUAAAAUGUAAAAAUAAUUAAAUAAAAUAUAUGAUGUCCAUAGUUUGAGGACCAAAAUAA
rnacentral:lncRNA from 1 species